ACAGCUCUUUCCCCAGUCUUCUACCUCUUACAUUUUUUUUCUAUAUUUCCUUUUGCCAUGUUCCCUGAAACUUACAAGGUGAUAGAAGUGUCCUGUUCAGGACUGAGUACUCUCAAACUGUUCUGUUCCAGCUUCAUUCCUCUAUACCUUGCAACAGAGGUAGGAGAUAUCUUCAAAAAUAGGCUCUUAUCAACUAUCUAUAAUGGCUAACCAAGAGGAGUAAUAUUAUUUUGGUGACAUUAUUGACCAACAACUCAUAAAGGUGGUACUAGGAUUUUGUUUAAUAACUCAUGACAGUAACAAAAGCAUUAUCCAGACCUUGAAAGAACAAUACUCAACUUUGGAUGGAAAAAUAAAAACCCAGGAUAUCUAAAACAAUCCCGAAUGAUUCUGGAGAUAUCACCGUCCCUGAUUUCAAGCUGCACUAUAGAGCUAUAGUAAUAUAAAGCACAUGGUAUUGGCAUAAAAACAGGCAUGUUGAUCAAUGAUUAAUGAAAUAGAAUUGGAGACCCAGUUGGAAAUCCACACACCUAUGGACACCUGAUUUUUGAGAAAGAAGCCAAAAAUACACAAUGAAAAGAAGAAAGCAUAACAAAUGGUGCUUAUCUAACUGGAUGUUUUGCAUGUAGAAGAAUACAAAGACAUCCAUAUCUAUCAUCCUGCACAAAACUCAAGUCCAAGUGGAUCAAAGACCUCAAUGGUAAUAUCAGAUACACUGAAUAUGGCGAGGAAGUAGAGAAUAACCUUGAAUUCAUUGGCACAAAAGAAGAUUUUCUGAAAAGAACACCAAUAGCACUUGCAUUAAGAUCAAGAAUUAAUAAAUGGGGCCUCAUAAGACUGAAAAGCAUUUGUAAAGCAAAGGACUCUGUCAGUAAGACGAGACCACAGCACACAGAAUGGGAAAAGAUUUUCACCAACUCUGUAUCUGAUAGAGGGCUAAUAUCCAAAAUAUAUAAAGAAUUCGAGAAACUAGAUGUCAACAGACUAAUUAAUCCAAUAAAAAAUGGGGCACAGAUCUAAACAGAGAAUACUAAACAGAGAAAUCUCAAAUGGCCCAGAAACACUUGAAAAAAUGUUCAACAACCUUAGUCAUCAAGGGAAUGCAAAUCAAAACAAAUUUGAGAUUCUAUAUUACACUGACAGAAUGGCUAAGAUCAAACCCCUCAAAUGACAGCUCAUGCUGGUGAGGAUAUGGAGCAAGAGGAACCUUCCUCCAUGGCUACUGGGACUCUAUUUUGAUAAGUCUCCCACCCCUUCAUCGUCCCCAUUCUUCCACCUCCCAGUUUUACUUGAAUCCUUUUACUCUUGGGCAUUCCCUCUCUACUCUGAUAUAAUCUGUGGCCUAUUAUUUCCCCCUCCCUUAUGUCAUUCCCCAUAAACCUGUUUUUGUUUCUUAGUUUUUAUAGAUGAUUGAAGGUAAACAAUGCAAAUCAAAAAUAAGUAGCUAGGAAUAGCACAUGAACGGGAGCACCUAGCACCUGUGUUUCUAUGCCUGACUUACUUCACAACUGAACAAAAUUUCUUUGUGUCUGUGUGCCACAUAGACAUCUAUGCUGGUUCCUUUUUUAAAAGUGCUAUUGUGAGUAGAGCUGUGGUGGGCACGGAUGAAUGAGCAUCUCUGUACUAGUAUGUAGAGUGGAGAGUCCUUUGGGUAUAUGCCUAAGGAGAAGCAUAACUGGUUCUCGUGCUGGUUUUGUUUCUAGAUUUUAAAGGAACCUCCAGGUUGAUUUCUAUAUAGGCUAUACCAGUUCACAUUCCCACCAACAGUGAGCAAAUGUUACUCUUUUUUUUUUUUUUUAGCAACAUUUGUUUUCUUUAUUUCUUUAUAUUAACCAUUUUGAAUGGGUGUGAUAAAUACAUGUUUAGUUAUUAUUAUUUACAGAUGGGCUAGAAUGGCCUUGUGGGUUGUAGCCUGAAAGCUGUUCCCAUGCUGUAGAUGGUAAGAGACUCAUGUGGCUUCAUGUAAGAGCAAAGGAAGCCUUCCCUGAUCCUCUGAAUCAAUGUCAUGAUAUCAUGAGAGAAAUUGGGACAUUUCAGAGGUUAAUCUGCAAAUAGUGUCUUUAUCAUGAUAAUCAAGGAAUCUAAGUGAUGCUUGCUUUAGAAUAUUUCCUUUUGACACCAGUCUCAGCAAGUGACUCUACUUGGGUCAUAAAACAAUAUCUGAAGAUAGGAGGAUUAAGAAAGCUUUGAAGACAGUGUCAAUCAAGAUGCUGCCAUUUUGUACUCAGAUGCUUUAAAUCCUUCUGAGGUGGGCUCUUCCACAUUGUCACACAAUUCUAAUAUGACUAGUUAACCAAUCUUGCUCAAUGAGCAUAUGAUUAAACUCACUUCAUUAGAUCAUGUUGCCAGCUAGUAAAGGUUUACUUCAGAAUUAACCUGGUGUGGUUACUCCUUGCUUGUUUUCUUGUUUGAUCUUUACUACAGAUGACUUUGUGGCAGUUUUGCCAAGGAGUGGGAGCCUCAGUGUCCUUGAGGAAACAAAGGAGGAAAUAGAGAGGUAAAAUUUGUUAGACACUGAAGGAAGAACAUGUUCUACUUUCAUAAGGAAUGUUGAACUUUCUCUCCUGUUCCCCUUAACUAUACAGGUAACGAGACACCAAGACUUGCUGGUCAUAUUUAUUCUUCUAUUUAAUUAAUAUGUUUAUUUAUUUUCUUGCAGUGAGAGGAAAGGACUGAAGCCCUUGCAUAUGCUAGGCAUAUGUUCUCCCAUUGAUCCACAUCUGCAGCCCAAUUUACCUUUUUAUUUAAUGAUGACAUUAAAUAUUUUCCUUAGG
ensembl:lincRNA Gm37323 predicted gene, 37323